rnacentral:rRNA from 1 species
AUUGAACGCUGGCGGCAUGCCUUACACAUGCAAGUCGAACGGCAGCACGGGAGUAAUCCUGGUGGCGAGUGGCGAACGGGUGAGUAAUAUAUCGGAACGUGCCCAGUCGUGGGGGAUAACUACUCGAAAGAGUGGCUAAUACCGCAUACGAUCUACGGAUGAAAGCGGGGGACCUUCGGGCCUCGCGCGAUUGGAGCGGCCGAUAUCAGAUUAGGUAGUUGGUAGGGUAAAAGCCUACCAAGCCUGCGAUCUGUAGCUGGUCUGAGAGGACGACCAGCCACACUGGAACUGAGACACGGUCCAGACUCCUACGGGAGGCAGCAGUGGGGAAUUUUGGACAAUGGGCGAAAGCCUGAUCCAGCAAUGCCGCGUGCAGGACGAAGGCCUUCGGGUUGUAAACUGCUUUUGUACGGAACGAAAAGGUAGCUCCUAAUACGAGCUGCCGAUGACGGU